UACGGAGGGUGCAAGCGCUAUCCGGAUUCACUGGGGUUAUAGGGUGCGUAGGUGGGUUGGCAAGUCAGUGGUGAAAUCCCCGAGCUUAACUUGGGAACUGCCAUUGAUACUAUCAAUCUUGAAUACUGUGGAGGUCAGCGGAAUAUGUCAUGUAGCGGUGAAAUGCUUAGAUAUGACAUAGAACACCAAUUGCGAAGGCAGCUGGCUACACAAUUAUUGACACUGAGGCACGAAAGCGUGGGGAUCAAACAGG
rnacentral:rRNA from 1 species